ACCCUACGGGAGGCAGCAGUGAGGAAUAUUGGUCAAUGGGCGGUAGCCUGAACCAGCCAAGUAGCGUGAAGGAUGAAGGUUCUAUGGAUUGUAAACUUCUUUUAUAAAGGAAUAGAGUGAGGCACGUGUGCCUUUUUGUAUGUACUUUAUGAAUAAGGAUCGGCUAACUCCGUGCCAGCAGCCGCGGUAAUACGGAGGAUCCGAGCGUUAUCCGGAUUUAUUGGGUUUAAAGGGUGCGUAGGCGGGAUGCCAAGUCAGCGGUAAAAAUGCGGUGCUCAACGCCGUCGAGCCGUUGAAACUGGCGU
rnacentral:rRNA from 1 species